rnacentral:rRNA from 1 species
AACGAACGCUGGCGGCAUGCCUAACACAUGCAAGUCGAACGAGACCUUCGGGUCUAGUGGCGCACGGGUGCGUAACGCGUGGGAACCUGCCCUUAGGUUCGGAAUAACUCCCCGAAAGGGGUGCUAAUACCGGAUAAUGUCUUCGGCCCAAUGAUUUAUCGCCUUUGGAUGGGCCCGCGUUGGAUUAGCUAGUUGGUAGGGUAAAAGCCUACCAAGGCGACGAUCCAUAGCUGGUCUGAGAGGAUGAUCAGCCACACUGGGACUGAGACACGGCCCAGACUCCUACGGGAGGCAGCAGUGGGGAAUAUUGGACAAUGGGCGAAAGCCUGAUCCAGCAAUGCCGCGUGAGUGAGGAAGGCCUUAGGGUUGUAAAGCUCUUUUACCCGGGAUGAUAAUGACAGUACCGGGAGAAUAAGCUCCGGCUAACUCCGUG